GACGGAGGGUGCAAGCGUUGUUCGGAAUUACUGGGCGUAAAGCGUGCGCAGGCGGUUUUGUAAACCAGAUGUGAAAGCCCCGGGCUUAACCUGGGAAUGGCAUUUGGGACUGCAAGGCUGGAGUGUGGCAGAGGAGACUGGAAUUCCUGGUGUAGCAGUGAAAUGCGUAGAUAUCAGGAGGAAUACCGAUGGCGAAGGCAGGUCUCUGG
rnacentral:rRNA from 1 species